rnacentral:misc_RNA from 1 species
CUGUUCUCCGCCCUUUCUUGUUUCCUUCUUCCCUUGUCACUGCAUGUUCAGCUUUGGCAGCGUCGGCGGCGCCGCCGGCAGUGGUGCACCUCCCCUGAUCGACGCACCUGGCAGAGGUGGCGGUGUGCUGAGUACCCCCUCCAACGCUGCUUUCCACGCAGCUGGCGGGCCGGCGCUGAUGAGCGGGGUCGUCGGCAGUAGCGGCAACACUGGUGUACUUCACGACCACUUCGAUGUUCAGCCAGGAAGCUAUUCGCCGUUCGGAGGGGGCAGUCAGGCGGUACCACCGCCGGUGCUUGGCGGUGCAGUCGCUUUCAAGGUCGGUGAGGGCAAGAGCAACACCGCCAGCCACGAGGGCAAGGCCAACGUGAGCGGUCCGCAACGCGGCGUGCUGCCCAUGAGCGGGUCAGCUCUGCCGCUCUCCGCAAUGCCCGUCUUCGGCACCGGCGCGCCACUGCUUUCCCAUUCGUCAGGCGCCGCUCCCAUGGCCGCUGCGCCUGCUGCCGCGAUGCUGUCGCUGCCGGGGUCGUUUGCCACGACGCCGUUGUCUGCGGUUCCGGUCUUUGCGGCGCCACCGCAAUCGUCGAUGCCCACGUCGAGUGGCGGAGGCAUCUUGGGUGGCGGCGGCGGCAGUGCGCAAAGCCGUGCAAAUCUGUCGUUCACCGCUCCACGAGGGGGCCAAGGACACAGCAGCGGCAAUAGCAAGGAGAGCGGUGCCAAGGGCGGCGCUGAUAGUCGCCCAUCUCUGCCCGUGCCUCACUCUUCACACCAGCGCAGCCAAGAGUCGCUGCCAUGGCUGGGCUCCACCUCCGCCCUCUCCUCCACACCCGCGCCAACAACACCGUUCUUGGAUCGUGGCAGUGCCGGCGCUGGAAGCAGCCCUCGACCCUUGCCGGUCUUCCCUGACGUUGCAAGUGCGGCGCGCAACAGUGACAACAACAAGAGUCACACAAGUGGGAACGUGUUGGCCACGGCCGCCCCAGUCCUGCCGCCUGCAGCUCCACAGAGCACACCAGGUUCCAGCGACGCUAAAGGGUUCAUCCUUGGCUCGGCUUUCGCAGCUGUCGACAUCAGCGGCAAAGGCGGCAACGCUGCCGGUGGCCCCCCGCCACUUCCGCCGACCUCUUCCGUUUUCGGCACGUCCGUGCCGAGUGUCAGCGCGUCCGCAGCGCCGCUGGAUAGGGGCGCUGCGACUCCACCUUUCCGCGAGGCAACGCCGGCGAAUGCCGCCGUCAAGGGCAGCCUGCUCAGAGGCAGCGCUGCGGCGGCGGCGGCAGGGCCUGCUUCGCUCGCUCCUGCAGCGGUGCCGCCAUCGAGUGCAUUUGGCGGGUCUGUGUUCGGUAAGACUUCGGCUGCAGCGGUGACGGCCCCGUCCACUAUCACACCAGCUGCGUCUCCUCCUCCGGCGGCGGCGAAAAGUACUGCGACCGGCGCGAACAGGAGCGGAAGCGUCUUCGGUGAGCUUCACAGCAGCUUCGGCGCGCCACCGCCAACGACGGCGGCGCCGAUCUUCUCCGCCUUUGGAGCGGUGUCGCCAGUAGCGCCGGGACCGACACCGUCUGCCACUCCGUUCGGGCAGCAAGCGGCACCGCGCGGCGGCAGCCACGUGCCCGCGAGCUUCCAUGCAAGCCCGUUUGCCCCCUCGCCGCCCUCAGCCGGUGCGGCGUCCAAACCGGCUACCACCGCAUCCGCCUUUGGCUCGGCAGCCUCUGGAUCAGGCCCUGGGGUUAGCGUUGGUUCAGUGUUUACGGCAGCAGCCGCCACUCCUGUGCGGGCGCCCGCGUCUUCCUUUGGCGCUUCCGCUGCCUCUGGGAAAGUGCCGCCGCCAGCGCCAUCCAGGUCAUUUGGCAGCCGCGCAGAUGGUGGUGGUGAUGCUGCUGCGGGGCGACGCCGAGGUCGCUCCACACCUCGAAGCGAUGCUGCUGAAGAUGACGGCAGCGGCAGUGGCGGUCCUGCUCGCCCCCACCCCAGCAGCCUCGCGGCGACCGCUUCGCCGUCCGCGCAAGGCUCCCGCCUUGAGAUACCAGCACCGCGCCAUGGGCAAUGCCGGCCGGCGCCGUCGACAACGCACACGCAGAAGCCGCCAACGGCCCUGUCGCAGCUGGGCAAGCUCCCCAUUCCACCACUGCCCGCAGAUGAGAAGAAGCUGUGCAUCGCCGCCCGUGUGUGCAAGUCCUUCCUCAUGCAACUUGCCUCCGCGCCGGCCUUGGGAGGCCGCGGUGGUGGUGCUGCGGGCUCCAGCAGGGAAGAGGGCGUCGCCAAGACCCUCGAGCAAGCCUUUUUCGGCGUUGUCGGCAUCGAGGGCGUGCACGGCAACUUCGGCAAUACCGCUGGCGAGAUGCUCGCCCUCUGGAACGGGCAGGUGAGGCCGGUGAUAUCUGGCCGUGGCACCCAAAGCUCUGAAGGCGGCGGCUCCGCCUUUCCGGGCGAGAUGUGGAUCGCGCUCUUCACUCUCGGCACGUACCUGAACACCAUUCUGUCCACGCUGCAGUCCAGCAAAUCGGGCCGAUACGCGGCAUCGUCAUCGGCGUCCGCCUCCGUGACGGAUUUGGCAGCCUACAAAGCGGGCCUGCGAGCCCACCCCACCGAGGCGCUCACCGACGCCUGCCACUACGCCAACGAGCUCAGCGAGCUGCUGCAGACGCUUUUCCAGCGCGGCGGCGAGGCCGAUGCCCCGCCGUACAGUGUCAUCCCGGUGGUGCUGCGGCGGGUGCGCAGCGUCUUUGAUGAAGCCAACGCGCGCGGCGUCGCAACGGUGCAGUCGAACCUGAACACGGUCACUUCGAAGCUGUUUGCAGUUCUCAACAGGCGAGUAAAGACGUCGGCCGUGCAGCCGCUUAGCACGCCUGGCGAGGCGCCGCGCUGGCUGCUGACGUACGACUCCAAAGAAAAGGAGAGCCUCCUGCACAGUUUUGCCUAUCUCAUCGUUGAGAUGAUCGCCGCAGAUGCCCCGAAGAACGACGACGUAGAGCUCUUCAUCUCGGCGUUUCACGAGUGCUUCCCGUCCGCGCUGGCGGAGCGGUGCAUGCUGUACUACCGGCGCGCCUGCGCACUCCUCCGGCAGCCGCUCCGCAUGUCGCUCGUCGAGGAGGCCGCUGAGCUGUUGGCGAAGGCGACCGUCGUGUACCCGCCCAACGCCACAUGGAACAACAGGCGUGUGUUGCUGGUGAAAUUGCUGGCAACGGAGCUGGCGCUGGGACGGCUGCCGCCGGACGAAGAUUGGCUCGCCCUCGACGUCCCGGCGCUCACCGAUGUUGUGAACGCGCUCAAGACGUCGCGUCUAGACCUCCUCGACGCGGCGCUUUCGAUGCAUGGGCCUUUCUUUGUGGAGAUCGGCGUACACAACGUCCUGUGUCUGGCGCGUCAGCGACUCGCGCUGCUGAUGGUCGUGAAGUUCUACCUGACUCACGGGUGCGAGAGUCGUCUAAGCGUGUCGGAGAUGGUGCGAUACCACCGCCUCCCCUACUCGGCGGUGGACGCGGGGGUCGUGUGGCUGCUGCCGCUGCUCGUAGAGAAGCAGAUAAACGGUGUGCUGGACCACGACUACCUGAUUCUAAGCGCCAAGACGCCGUUCGACGCCUAUCCGCUCAAGACGCUCGCCGACGCUGCGGCCGUCGCAUGACAUCCACCGCGGAGUUGGGGGAGGGCGGGUGAUGGCGUGCGACAAGCACCCCUUGGGUCUCUGUGGAGGUGGUAAAAGGGUUUUGCGUUAUGGGGGUAAAGGACUCAAAAGAGUGUGCGGGGAAGCGGCGGGAGCGGCUCCGAUGCGCAUGUCUGUGCCUGUGCAGGUGUGCGCAAACCCCUGUGCGCCUGUCUCUCUCCUUGUGCUUGGGCUUGCGUCAGUUGUCGGCGGUGGUGGCGGCGGUGCAUUCUCCCCCUCCCCCUCCCUCUCUCCCUCCUGCCCUCUGUGCGAGGGGGAGAACGGAGAGAAGACAAGGAUUGGCAGAGAAGUGGCAGAUGCUCGGAGAGCACAUCAUACUCGCAAAGCAAAGGAACGUGUGUAUGCGUCCGCUAAGCCUUUUCCAAGGGCGCCAGAGUUGCAGGCGCGUCUCGCGGAGUUAGGGCACGAAGGCUCAAGGCAGUUAAGAAACGGGAAGGAGAAUGGAGGGUGAUAUACGGCGAAGCGCAGUCGUGUCGUCUGGCCUCACCGUGGCGGCGCCGCAGAUGCAGCAACUAGGAUUUUCGUGACCCGUUCUCGUGCCCGCUCGCUCUUAGCCCCCUCGCCGCGACUCUCUCUCUCUCUCCACCCACCCAGCGGUGUUACGCACACAAGCACGGCCCUCUCUCUGUGCAUGUAUUCUUUCCCCUCUUGUCCUCCUCUCGCCUCAUCACGGCAUCCACCAACCUCCCCGUGGCCCAAAUCUACGCACACGUGCGCGCACGUGGGCAUGCGUGCCAG